GGGGGCAGUGAGGACCAGGAUUGAGAAACACUGAACUAGAUGCUCCUGGUAUAAGUAUGAGUACUCCAUAAUUUAUAAAUUAGAAGGAGGUUCUCUGGAUAAUCCUGAGUUGAAUCAUCUCUGUUUAAUCAGACUGGCUGAAACAAAUCAGGCAGACUUUUUUCUUUUCACAUCAGAGCAGCGUACAGACGGCACACAGAAAGCAGACAUAAAGCGUGCAGAUAAAUAAUCCCUGCUGAGUGAAACGGUAAACCACAGAGGCUCAGGAUGAGGCCGCCUGGGCAGAGCCGUUUCACAUUCACUGCUCCGUUUCCAUGAAAUCACGUGACCUCUCAUGCUUUAUAAGGCUCUGAUUAGCUCUGCAGUCUCUCGUGAGUAUUCCCUUCACCUCUUUGACGAAGCAAUGUUUUCACAAUUUCACUGUCACAAUAAAGCUUUUAAAUGUUCGUCCUUCUCCCACUCCAACCUGAUUCUCACUCUGCUGCAGACAGGUUGACAGCCGAGAAACUCCCAGCAGACGGAAAUCUCUGGGAUGACACAUCCAAACUCUUCCAUCAGAAGAGAUUGGAACGCAGCAAACUCUUCUGAUGGUAGAGCUGAGAAAAGAGAGCCUGACCAGAGGAGCUGCAUCAAAUACCAGAGUGAAAACAUCACACAUCUCCUGGAUUUCUCAUUCCACAAGAGGCAGCUUGUGAAUCCUGCCUUCUAUAAUACUCAUAUUGUAGUUCCUGCAUUCUCAGAGUUCUGAAAGUGCUAUUUUAUAAUCUAAAGCUCAGAAUGUAGUCUUUUAUCUAAUGCUCCUACUAAAAAGUCAUAAGCAAAGCCUUUAUUGACUGAAACUGACUGUAGAGCCAUGCAGCUGCGAGCAGACAGAACUGCUUCCAUGAAUCCCUUGAAUAAAGACAAUGCUAAACUCUUUUGUAUGAUGUCACUUCGGCAUGUACAGACUACUUUUUACUUUCUGUUUUAAAGUUUGUCAUCUGCAGUCGAGCCCCAGCAGCCGUUUUGAUUUUUUGUGGGCAGAGGUGGGGGCAGCAUGUUUGUGGGUUUGGCAUCUUGUUCUCCUGCAGUGCAUUGUGGGUAUCUAUGUGAAAUCACG